GUAGGGACCAAGCGUUAUCCGGAAUUAUUGGGCGUAAAGGGUGCGUAGGCGGCCAUAUAAGUCUAAGUUAAAAGCCCACGGCUUAACCGUGGAAAGUGCUUAGAAACUGUAUGGCUUGAAUUCAGAAGAGGCAAGUGGAAUUCUAUGUGGAGCGGUGGAAUGCGUAGAUAUAUGGAGGAACACCAGUGGCGAAGGCGGCUUGCUGGGCUGAUAUUGACGCUGAUGCACGAAAGCGUGGGGAGCAAACAGGAUUAGAUACCCUGGUAGUCCACGCCGUAAACGAUGAGUACUAAGUGUUGGAGAAAUUCAGUGCUGAACUUAACAGAUUAAGUACUCCGCCUGGGGAUUACGACCGCAAGGUUG
rnacentral:rRNA from 1 species